UGCCCUUUCCCGAUAUAAAAUUCGUCCGAACAACCGUGCGUUGUAAAAACCCUAGCCCAACCGUGCGUUGUAAAAACCCUAGCCCUAAAGUCCUAAGUUAAUCGAGCUGUUGAUCGCAAUGGCAGAAGCUGAGAAAGUUAGCGGGAAGAUAAAGGAAUUUCUCAACUCUCAGGUCAAUAACGAGGAAAAUUGGGCUGUGAACAUGAAAAUUCUUCGAGCUGCUGGACUAUUUUUUGGCUCAAUAUUCUUCAUGCGCAAUUUUGGGGAUCUCAUGGCAAUAUGAAGUGGUUGUCAUAUGAUAUGAUGUCACUGCUGUCACUGCUUAAUAGACUGUAAAUGAUUUCCUCCUAUUCUACAUUACUAUUUUAUGCGGUCGAAUAUUUAUAUAUAUCUGCUGCUGUGUCAUGCAAAACUUGAUGUUAUCAUUACUCUUUAGUUGAUUGGUAACUGUUUUUCAUUCUGCUUGAAAAUUUUGACUUUAUAUUCAUCUUCGUGUUUGUAGUUGGACAAA